rnacentral:ncRNA from 1 species
GAAAGAUGCCGCCGGAUGAUGUGAGGGUGAUUUCAUCAGCGUACUUGAUACGUGGUAUUCGCGCCGGGGGUCUUUCUUUUU